UGGUCCUGACCUUGUAAUCAAUUAUUACUUAACUUAUUCAUGCAAGUCUCCGCACUCCUGUGAGAACGCCCUUACUUAUCUUCUAGAAAUAAGGAGCUGGUAUCAGGCACAACCCUCAGCCCAAAACACCUAGCUUUGCCACAUCCACAAGGAAAUUCAGCAGUAAUCAACAUUGAGUAUGAGCGCCAGCUCGACUCAGUCAAAGUAAAGAGGGCCGGCAAAUAUGGUGCCAGCCGCCGCGGUUACACCACUAGACUCAAAUUGAUUAUUUUCGGCGUAAAGCGUGAUUAAAGUUAAUUAAUAUUAUAGUUGUAUUUUAACUAAGCCGUGACACGCUUGUUUACAAGAAACCCAAAAACGAAAGUUACUAUAUUUACAACAACUUGAACCCACGACAGCUGGGACACAAACUGGGAUUAGAUACCCCACUAUAAGCUUAAAACCCAAAGGACGUGACGGUACCCCACRUCCCCCUAGAGGAGCCUGUCCUGUAAUCGAUAAUCCCCGUUCAACCUCACCAUUUUUAGCUUCUCAGCCUGUAUACCUCCGUCGUCAGCUUACCUCGUGAGUGCUACUCAGUGAGCUUAAUGUAUAUUCAUCAACACGUCAGGUCAAGGUGCAGUAAAUAAAAUGGGAAGAGAUGGGCUACACUCUCUAAUCUAGAAAACACGAAAGACUAUUUAUGAAAUCUAGUCGGAAGGCGGAUUUAGUAGUAAAAAGAAACUAUAGAGUUCUUUUUAACCCGGCACUGGGGUGUGUACACACCGCCCGUCACCCUCUUCGAAGCCAAAAGACAGUAAUUAACUCACCUUAGCAUUUUAGAAGAGGCAAGUCGUAACAUGGUAAGCGUACCGGAAGGUGUGCUUGGAAA
rnacentral:ncRNA from 1 species